UCUGGUACAGUCCGCUACUGGCGUAUUAUCAUACCUUGUGUUUAUCAAGUGCUGAGUGUACAGUGAAACUAUUCUUCUGGUUGAGAAAGUUGAGAAAGGGCGCCCUCAAGUAUGGGGUCCAUAACCAACACAGUUACAGCUCUCACUGUGAUAGUGAUUCUUGUUCAGACGAUCACAGUAUCAGCGAUGUGUUCUAUGGACAGCGAGUGCUUGAAUGGAGGAACCUGUAACACCACGGCAUUAAC